CCUACGGGCGGCUGCAGUGGGGAAUAUUGCGCAAUGGGCGAAAGCCUGACGCAGCGACGCCGCGUGAGGGAUGAAGGUCUUCGGAUCGUAAACCUCUGUCAGCAGGGAAGAACGGUCACUGUGCUAAUCAGCAGUGAAUUGACGGUACCUGCAAAGGAAGCACCGGCUAACUCCGUGCCAGCAGCCGCGGUAAUACGGAGGGUGCGAGCGUUAAUCGGAAUUACUGGGCGUAAAGCGCUCGUAGGCGGUAUGUCAAGUCAAUGGUGAAAUCCCCGCGCUCAACGUGGGAACUGCCUUGGAAACUGGCGAACUGGAGUUUGUGGGAGGAAGGUGGAAUUCGAGGUGUAGGAGUGAAAUGCGUAGAUAUGUGGAGGAACAUCAGUGGCGAAGGCGACUAUCUGGAGCAGAACUGACGCUGAGGCGCGAAAGCGUGGGUAGCGAACAGGAUUAGAUACCCCGGUAGUC
rnacentral:rRNA from 1 species